UACGUAGGGACCAAGCGUUGUUCGGAUUUACUGGGCGUAAAGGGCGCGUAGGCGGCGCGGUAAGUCACUUGUGAAAUCUCUGAGCUUAACUCAGAACGGCCAAGUGAUACUGCAGUGCUAGAGUGUGGAAGGGGCAAUCGGAAUUCUUGGUGUAGCGGUGAAAUGCGUAGAUAUCAAGAGGAACACUUGAGGUGAAGACGGGUUGCUGGGCCAACACUGACGCUGAGGCGCGAAAGCCAGGGGAGCAAACGGG
rnacentral:rRNA from 2 species